GACCUGAUGGUGUAAUUGGUUAGCACGCCUGCUCGAAGUAGUUUUGGAUGCAAAAAGACUUCUGCAGGAGCCCCCGGUUCGAAUCCGGGUCAGGUCA